rnacentral:misc_RNA from 1 species
GCAAACUUGGUCAUUUAGAGGAAGUAAAAGUCGUAACAAGGUUUCCGUAGGUGAACCUGCGGAAGGAUCAUUCACAAUUGCAAAGUGAUUUUAUGGCACUUUACAAAAAAAAUCCAUAUCCACCUUGUGUGCAACGUUUGUGUCUUCUUUUUUGAAGGCAUUUUCAUCAACCAAUUUUUUUUUAAACAAGAAUCGUCUGAAGAAAAAUAGUUUUUAAAAUUAAAAAACAACUUUCAACAACGGAUCUCUUGGCUCUCGCAUCAAUGAAGAACGCAGC